rnacentral:sRNA from 1 species
UGACAGGAAAACUAGGGUUCCGGUCCGCACCAUGCACGACGCGGAUGACUGGUCCGAGAGUUUUCCGGCUCCGGCUUCAAGGGGCUCCACGGAGGGAUAAAAGCCCGGGAGAU